AUUGAACGCUGGCGGCAUGCCUUACACAUGCAAGUCGAACGGUAACGGGCCUUCGGGUGCCGACGAGUGGCGAACGGGUGAGUAAUGCAUCGGAACGUACCAUUGAGUGGGGGAUAACGUAGCGAAAGUUACGCUAAUACCGCAUAUUCUGUGAGCAGGAAAGCAGGGGAUCGCAAGACCUUGCGCUCUUUGAGCGGCCGAUGUCGGAUUAGCUAGUUGGUGGGGUAAAGGCCCACCAAGGCUACGAUCCGUAGCGGGUCUGAGAGGAUGAUCCGCCACACUGGGACUGAGACACGGCCCAGACUCCUACGGGAGGCAGCAGUGGGGAAUUUUGGACAAUGGGGGCAACCCUGAUCCAGCCAUGCCGCGUGAGUGAAGAAGGCCCUCGGGUUGUAAAGCUCUUUCGGCCGGGAAGAAAUCGUGUGGGCUAAUACCCUGCAUGGAUGACGGUACCGGAAUAAGAAGCACCGGCUAACUACGUGCCAGCCGCCGCCGUAA
rnacentral:rRNA from 1 species